UAUUGAAGAUGAAACAGUCUAACCAGGGAUAGCAAUCUUUCAAAGAUUAAUAGAGCCAGCAGAGGUCCAUAUGUCAAAAUCCAGGUCAGAUUUUUCAGUCAACUGUCUCUGGUCCACCGGCAGAGCCUUGGGAAGUGACCAUGAUCCAAUCCGGGAGUACACUGAUCUCUACAGCCAAACUGUUGAAUCCUACAUGCAAUUUCUGCAACAGAUUGACGAAGGAUAUAACAAGAUCUGGAAACUCCAAGUUCUCUAGUACUUAUAAUAAUUAAUGAUGAUACAAUUACAACUGGGAGAAUGGCUAGAGCCUGAGACCAGAAGUAAAAUGGUAAUGAAAGCAGAACCAUGGAUUUUUUGUCAUUGGCCUUGUGCCUGUUAUUAGUGGGACUAGUGGCAAAGGUAAGAUGGCAUAAUGCUCCAUAGACAGAGUUCAAAGGGGCUAAAAGCUUUCAUUUUGGAGAUGAGAAAAACAUGCCUAAAUUUAGAUGUUGUGACUUGUCCAAGAAACAAAUUCCCUAAAACUAAGAAUGAACCAAAUAGAAACUAAUGUCUCCAAAACAAUAUAAGAAGCAGUAAAACAACAUCAAAAGAUUGAAAAAAAGAGAAGAAAAUAUAAGGUAUCUCUUGGUAUAAAACAACUGAGCUGAAAAACAUUAAAAAGCUACAAGGUUGAAAGGGAAGCUCAAGACACAAACUCAGAAAAAGACACUGGCUUGAAAAUAUCUAAAAGCAAAGCCAUAAAGAAAAAAUGAAGAUUUAACACAAAUUCAAGAAUUUUCAGAAAAGCUGAAAGAAGAGUUUUUUUAAAAAGAGCUUCCUUCUUCCAAAAGAUUCUAAAAACCAAAGAAGAGGGGUAGAGGAAAAAUUGAGAAAAGAAAUAAGAGCCAUGAAAGAAAAUUAUGAAAAGAGAAUUAAUAGCUUGGUAAAAGAGCAUGAAAAACUGAAGAAAAUAACUUCUUAAAAAUAUGAA